GGGCACGAAAUCAAAUGUGUGCUAGGAUCAAGUCUCACACAUAUGAGACUCAUGGUACAGAAAAUAAUGUCACAUCAUUAAUAUAUAACAGAGUUCUGUACAAAAUACAUAAAUAAUUACAUCAUACGAAGACAACGUUCCAGCAACCAUAGUUGACUGGGAGGCGACGACCUAGACCGCUCACGAACCCAUCACAACAUCCUUCAUGCGCCUCAUCCUGUGGUACCUGUCCUUGACCUGGGGGGAUGUGAGUACAACAAGAGUGAGCUCACAUACGUUCAUCGCUCAACAAGUUGUGGGGGAUGAUGUGCAUGAGCUCACUUAUAGUGGGGCUCAUGUGAAGUGUAAGGCUUACCAAAGGAGAUGGUUAAAGCUAAGCAUUGCUUUUAAAGUUGGUCAAAAUUUUAUUAGCACUUACUAAGUAUAAGUGAAUACCAACCUAAUUAAAUAAGCGAUCACAAUUGAUAAUAACACCCACAAUGCAAUGCAAAUGACAAAUUAAGUUUAAUUCCAUAAUUUAAUCAUGUGAGUGUCUGAGCCGCUCAUGAUCGUGAGCAAGGCUGAUAUACUAGUUUUACACUCCACAGAGGUUACGCAUCUUUACCCAUAAGUCAUGUUACCCAUUUGCCAUGGGGUUGUACGAACCCCAUACACCUUUACCAAGGAAGCGAAGCAGGGUAGCACUACGAGGCCUUUCCAAAGUUCCACUAGUUCGAGAAUACCCGCUACUGUUUUAGGAAGAAGGAAGCAUAGGAAUCCCUCGUCUGAACUGCCAUCGCAGCAGUUCGACCCGAGAACCUCCCUAUACUCUGCAGCGACGCCUCCCGGCUUGCCCCUUUCGGGUAAGGUAAUCUCUCCCUAGCUUCCCUAAUUACUUGGCCAAGGGCGUCCAAUUCCACCCUUGUGGUACAACUGUUUUCCUGGGUGGUUCUCCAUGUUCCAAUUAAGAUGAUGAUCUUAUCAUGAACAAUAAUUAAAACAACAACAUAAUUGGAACAUGAUCAUAAUAUAACAUUAAUUUCCCAAAACCAGGUAGAGCAAUACCAAGGGCAUGUUUGGUUCACUACCUCAGUUGCCACAAUUUGCCUAACUUUUCUACCUAAGGUUAGUUAUUCAAUUCGAACGACUAACCUUAGGCAAAGUGUGGCACAUUUAGCCACAAACCAAACAUGCCCCAAAUCUACCCAAUAGUUCAUCUGUUUGCAAGGUGGGGGAUAAACAAUGCUAGGGAACCUAUUAGGUCCCAUCAAAUUAACCUGAGCAUGUUACAGUGAUUAACAUGAACAUUAUUAGGUAAAGAAGAGUGAUCAACGACACAACUUGCCUUAGACUCGAGAUUCCCAGGUACCAACUUGGUCUUCAAGUGACUCGUAACCUCGCUGCUACUCGUAGCAAUACAAACAAACAAUGUAUAGGCAAAAUUAACAUCACACCAAACAUAAGAACAAACUGCAUAAUAAUGUUCUACGUAUCGUAACGAGAUCCUAGGUUUGAGAACCACUAAAUUUGGAGUUACGGUUAUAAAGGUAUGACUUUCCUAAUAUUUAAGUGCCCACUAUAAAAUAAAUGAGGUACAGGAUUUUUAACCAUAGGUUUCAUAGUAAUACAAGGUUAGUAGAUGAUAACAAUAUUAAUGUGAGAUUAAUGCAACUGGAAUGGAUCAAAAAGGAGUUAAAAUGAAUCACUUAUGAAUUAAAUAAUUUUCUGGAAUUAUUUUUAUACUAAAAACCAUUUUCUAUAUAAAUAUACUCAUUUUAUUUAACCUUUGGGCUGCGGCCACCAUUUCAGAAGAGUUCAGGGGUCGUUUCAUAAGAAACUAGUGCCAUAUGGUAAAUACUUUACACUCAGAGUGGACGACGGGUUGAUAACUAAAUAAGACAGGGACUCUUUUGCAUUUUGGCGCGGUCAAAGGGGUACGAGGGGUUUUCUGGCCGUUAGAUCGACUGCCCGCGGCAUAGAUUAGAUCGGCCCAUUUAUCAACCGGAAUUCGCUCGCAGACGUAGGAUACUGAGAUCAUCCCUCAACCACCGGAUCAAAAUCGGACGCACCAGAGCGAUCUGGACGAAACGGACGAAACCACAUACCCCGAGAUCUACGGUUCACAUGUCACCACCCUUUGGUUAAAUCUCGACGGCACAUCCACUGAUCAAAGGUGCAGAUCUCAUGGAUCAAACCAUUUACUAGAGAUCUGAUCCUAGCCUUUGACCAGGGGAUCAACGGUCCAGAGAGACCCUCCAGCUCCCGACGCCGGCGGCGAGAGCCCACCAAUUCCCCCCACGGCGGCGCCAUUACAGCACAUGGUCCAAUGCCGCCCUAGCGCUCCACCUCCACCGAAAACCUUAAAUACUUAAUGUGGAAGGUAAAGCGGAUUGGGUCUUGUGGUUAUACCUGAGUGAGGCGGCGACUGAUCCGGUUCACGGUGCUACCCUUCGCCACCAGCGAGCACGCGAGGUCCCUCUACAGUGAUGGUCACGAGGAGAAGCAAGGAGUAGGGAGGGAAGGAUCUGGGGUCGUGGUUUCCUAAAUAGGCGUGGAUUAGGCCUGGGCGCAAUAACAGUCCGUGCGGCAUUGGCGCGACCCCACCAUGCACGGUGCGUUCGUUG
rnacentral:lncRNA from 1 species